rnacentral:misc_RNA from 1 species
GAUGAGAACGCAGCGAAAUGCGAUACGUAGUGUGAAUUGCAGAAUUCAGUGAAUCAUCGAAUCUUUGAACGCACAUUGCGCCCUUUGGUAUUCCAAAGGGCAUGCCUGUUCGAGCGUCAUUUGUACCCUCAAGCUUUGCUUGGUGUUGGGCGUCUUUUGUCUCCAGUUCGCUGGAGACUCGCCUUAAAGUCAUUGGCAGCCGGCCUACUGGUUUCGGAGCGCAGCACAAGUCGCGCUCUUAGCCAGCCAAGGUCAGCGUCCAGCAAGCCUUUUUUCAACCUUUGACCUCGGAUCAGGUAGGGAUACCUGCUGAACUUAAGCAUAUCAAUAAGCGGAGGA